rnacentral:misc_RNA from 1 species
UUAACUCACAAAUUAAACUCAAUAAUUGGCUUUUAGUCCCAAGCGCAAGAACUUCUACAGACUACAUCAUACCAUUCCCAUGAAAUGAUGCUGAGACCGAGAUACCCUAUAAGAAUUGAGAAGUGUGAACCUCACUUUUUGCCCCGUUUAUCUGACGAGGAAAUCGGUUGCUUCAUGUUGGAGAACGACGACAAAAGAACUACACGUUAUUGCAAUUAUCAGAGUUGGAAUAAUGGGUUGCCUCAUUCAUGCGCAAUUCGUUUGCGCAUCACUUGCCAGCCAAAUAUCAUAUGGGAAAGAGCAUCCUGCGUUGUUCAUAUGAUUCUUAAGCUAAUCCAACAUCUGCUUGACAGAUGAAACUUCUGGCAUCUAAAGCCCAUAUCACGUGCCCCAAUACAAUAGUAGCGCUCAAAAUAAGUAAACACAAGCAUUUGUAUGAUAAAAGGCGAACUCGCAUCUGAAAUCAGCAAAAUGCUUAAAUUCUUAAUAUAUUUGGAGAAGAAACAGAUAAAGAACAACUCGACUAGUACGGAUUGAUUCAAUGAAAAACAUCAAAUGUGAAAUCCCUAUGCUCCCUUUUACUUUGGAAACCUCCGAUUAUGGCAUCCAUUGCAGAUUCACAAAAAACACCCAUAAACUUCAAAGAUCAAUCACACGAGAUAGCUUCUGAAUGCGGUUUAAUAAGAAGUCUCCCUGCUUGAUAGUGGCUUGGUAAAGAGCAUUCUUUGCAUCAGGCCGGUUAGUUUCAAGAACACCUGCAACCUUAUCAAUCUUGCAAUGAAGCUUCCCCGCCGCAAUAAAAUGUGAUAAUUCCAGAUCAAUGAACUCCACUGUCACACCAAAUGCCUUUGCCAUUGCUUCAAUGGUAACACUCUUGUAGGAUUCUAAAAACUGAGAAUAGACAACAGUUCUGACCUCCCUCAUGUAAUAUCGGAAGUGUGGAUGCAGAUAGCGGUCAAGUUUAAUUUGCUCCGUGAGGCCAGCAAAUGCUGAGAAAAAUGAUUUGUAUUGACAAUCAUAUAGAGAAUUUAAAAACUCAGAAAGGUACAGGAUUUUCCCAAUCACUGUCAAGAUCUCAGGAGCAUCCACUACCUUUUGCUUCAGGGAAACUCUAUCCAAUGAUAUUAUGCUUGUAAGAACAGUAUAAAAUAUGAAGGUGUCAUAAGGGAAAAGUUCAUAGGUAGUGAAGGUUGAAAUGGAAUCCAAAAACAAUUUUGCUGCCUUCUUGAAAUUCCGAGUGGACAUGCAAUACAAGCCUUCAUACACCUUCAACCGGUUCUUCCUUUCCCAAUCACCUCCCUCUUCAAACAAGUUUUUUGCUUUGUCAAUGCUCUUGGAAAUGAGAUCAAAAUCCAUGUAGAAAAAGCCAAGCUGUAAAGUAUAGAAUACCAAGUCCAUUUUUUGCCCAACUGCAACUGUUUUGCUUUCUGUCACCUUUAGUUGCUCCAAAGCUUUCUCCUUGUCACCAGUUCGAAUGUAGAACAAAGAUUUGGCCAAAUGAGCUUCUCGAACUUCACUUUCACCCAAGUUUUCUUCAGCAUCAGCAAUCCUAACGAAGACAACCAGAUAAACAAAAGUUACUCAUGAAGAAAACUGGUAACCCACUUAACAUUUCAAAACUACAAAUUAUUCAAUAAUAGUUGUUCAAUCAGACCAAAAAUAAAACCAUUAAAUGAUUAUCCCUUGAAAUAAUCUAAUUCAAACAUCCUCAUCAUUCUAUCAUAACAUUCACCAUCAGUGCUUCAGCAAUUAUUUAUAAUAAUAUGUUAUCCUUAAAAUAUAGUAGGUAAAUUAAUUUAAAUCCACAAAGAUAUCCCAGUGAACAAACAAGAUUAAAACCUUACCGGUAAAAAAACAAAAGUUUGUAAUGAGAUUAUUGCGCUCAUAUGCCUAUCUUAACAUCAUAAGAGGAAAACAAAAGGUAAGUAAUAAAAGAUAAAAAGAAAAAGGCUAGGUUGAAUCCGAUCAAUCAUUGUAGUGAUGCAUCAAAUAAGCUCAUCUCCCUCAAACACUAAUUAGCUCUACUAUAAAUUUCAGUUGACUCCAAAUUUCCAAAUCAACGAUGGUUCCAAUUAUGGUUAACUUUCUCGUAACAAACUUAUCCACAGUAUCAUAUUAAGGGUUUUCUUGUCAAAUGCAUUAUUUUUAUGUAAUGAAAACAUUCACAUACAUAAAAGUAAUCAUUCAUCUCACCAAAAACAACAGAAGGUGACAAAUCAC